CAGAGGAGAAAAGAUGUUUGGACACUUGACACCCUGGAAAGCAUACAUAAAUAUAGAACAGGAUUAUGCUUUGCUACGUUGUCUGAAGUUCCUUAGGCAGAAUAAGCAUCUAGUACUGUUGAGCUGAAGUUAAUUUUCCUACUGAAUUUAGCUCCGUUUGUGCUUUGGCUCAGAAAGAGAGUGGAAGGUUCAAGAGAUAAAACACGAUACAACUAUUCUAUGAAAGACUUGGAUGUGCCCUUUGGGGUUCUUUCAUUAAGGCAGUGUGGCAGAAAGGUAUGCAUCAUGUUCCUAUGUAAUGAAGUCAAGACCACCUGGGGAGCCACGGCAGCAACCACAGCACUGCAUAAUUGCAAUGCCAUAAAUAAAACC